GUGUUCUAAUUACAAAUUGAAGUUGCCAUUCUUCCUUUUACUUUGUUUGAAAUAUUGAAUCUGGAAUGGAUUGAUUUAAAGGAAAUGAAUGAAGAAAAAAGACAGAGCAUUGAAUUUUGUUGUUCUCAAUUAUAGCUUGUGUUGGUUGUGUGGUUGCUGACCUUUUGCACUCCUGCAUGGAGGGGCUUUUGACAAACAAAUCUAGCUUUAGGUUAGCUUUGUGUAUUUGUAAUUUCCUUGCGCUCUGUUGGGCAUAUGAUUUGAGCUAGUAAUCUUCUUUAUACUUUAAUAUUCUUUUGCAAUUACGAAUUUCAAAUGUUUUUGUAAUAUUAUAAUAUAACUAUUUUAUACACAUUUUAAUGAAUGUGUGCUUUACAUCUCUCAAAUGUGCGCUUGUGCCUUGCAGUAGGUCCUAGGUACAGGUACCUUAUGCAUCUUAAACCUUUUACACCUAUGGGUCGAAUAUACUUCAACUCAACUCAACUUAACUCAUUUUAG
rnacentral:misc_RNA from 1 species